GACGAACGCUGGCGGCGUGCUUAACACAUGCACUUUGAACGAAGAGGCCCUGCUUGCUGUUUGCUCGAAUGUCGAACGAGUACGUAACUCGCAGGUGAUCUGCCCUGCACAUCGUGAUAAGCUUAGGACACUCUGUCUAUUACCGUGCUGGAACGAUCCUUAGCAUGUUGGUUGGACAGAUUUUUCGGUGUAGGAUGGGCUCGCGGCCUAUCAGCUUGUUGGUGGGGUAAUGGCCUACCAAGGCGGCGCCGGGUAGCCGGCCUGAGAGGGUGUACGGCCACAUUGGGGCUGGGAUACGGCCCAGACUCCUACGGGAGGCAGCAGUGGGGAAUAUUGCACAAUGGGAGCAAGCCUGAUGCAGCGAUGCGGCGUGGGGGAGGAAGGCCUUCGGGUUGUAAACUCCUUUCGCUAGGGACGAAGCGUGUAGUGACGGGACCUAGAUAAGAAGCACCGGCUAACUACGUG
rnacentral:rRNA from 1 species